rnacentral:tRNA from 1 species
CUCAUUCAGCCUAUUAUUUUACAAAGAGAUCCUAUAAAAAUUGGAUUCUCUUAUCACAA